AUAUGGAUGCAACAACUGGAUAACCUAGUAAUAAACAAUAUUAACAAACAGUUGCCAACAACGUGAGAGCAUGUGCUUGGUAGGAAGAUAUUACAGUUAUGAGUAGGAAUAUAAAAAUGGUCCCUUUGGAGGUUGGUUUCCAAUAGAAAACAGAGAUGAUGCAUGGCCUGGUUUUUCAACUUUUUUCGUGUUAUGAAAAGAAGACAAAUACCAUCUUAAAAGGCAAAUCAGAUUGGGGUCAAUGACUCGAGAUACCACGCAAGAUGAACCAGAAGAAAAAU
rnacentral:lncRNA from 1 species